rnacentral:rRNA from 1 species
AUUGAACGCUGGCGGAAUGCUUUACACAUGCAAGUCGAACGGCAGCACGGACUUCGGUCUGGUGGCGAGUGGCGAACGGGUGAGUAAUGUAUCGGAACGUGCCCAGUCGUGGGGGAUAACGUAGUGAAAAUUACGCUAAUACCGCAUACGAUCUAUGGAUGAAAGCGGGGGAUCGCAAGACCUCGCGCGAUUGGAGCGGCCGAUAUCAGAUUUGGUAGUUGGUGGGGUAAAGGCCCACCAAGCAAACGAUCUGUAGCUGGUCUGAAAGGACGACCAGCCACACUGGAACUGAGACACGGUCCAGACUCCAGCGGUAGGCAGCAGUGGGGAAUUUUGGACAAUGGGCGAAAGCCCGAUCCAGCCAUUCCGCGUGCAGGAUGAAGGCCCUCGGGUUGUAAACUGCUUUUGUACAGAACGAAAAGGUUUCUACUAAUACUGGGAGCUCAUGACGGUACUGUAAGAAUAAGCACCGGCUAACUACGUGCCAGCCGCCGCAGUAA